rnacentral:rRNA from 1 species
AUUGAACGCUAGCGGCAUGCUUUACACAUGCAAGUCGAACGAGUGGCGGACGGGUGAGUAAUAUAUGGGAACCUGCCCAGUAGAGGGGGAUAACUACUGGAAACGGUGGCUAAUACCGCAUACCAUCGGAUCUGCCCAGAUGGGAUUAGCUUGUUGGUGGGGUAAAGGCUCACCAAGGCAACGAUCCCUAGCUGGUUUGAGAGGAUGACCAGCCACACUGGAACUGAGACACGGCCCAGACUCCUACGGGAGGCAGCAGUGGGGAAUAUUGGACAAUGGGGGAAACCCUGAUCCAGCCAUGCCGCGUGUAUGAUGAAGGCCUUCGGGUUGUAAAGUACUUUUGGCAGAGAAGCGGUAUCUGCAGAAUAAGCACCGGCUAACUACGUGCCAGCAGCCGCGGUAAUUC